AUUGAACGCUGGCGGAAUGCUUUACACAUGCAAGUCGAACGGUAGAGGGGGCAACCCCUUGAGAGUGGCGAACGGGUGAGUAAUAUAUCGGAACGUGCCCAGUCGUGGGGGAUAACGUAGCGAAAGUUACGCUAAUACCGCAUACGAUCUACGGAUGAAAGCGGGGGACUCGCAAGAGCCUCGCGCGAUUGGAGCGGCCGAUAUCAGAUUAGGUAGUUGGUGGGGUAAAGGCUCACCAAGCCAACGAUCUGUAGCUGGUCUGAGAGGACGACCAGCCACACUGGAACUGAGACACGGUCCAGACUCCUACGGGAGGCAGCAGUGGGGAAUUUUGGACAAUGGACGCAAGUCUGAUCCAGCCAUUCCGCGUGCAGGAUGAAGGCCCUCGGGUUGUAAACUGCUUUUGUACGGAACGAAAAGCUUCUGGUUAAUACCUGGGAGUCAUGACGGUACCGUAAGAAUAAGCACCGGCUAACUACGUG
rnacentral:rRNA from 1 species